rnacentral:lncRNA from 1 species
CAUGAGCAAUAUUUUUAAAAGCAUCAUUAUUAAUAUAAUAUUCAAUAUAAUAAUAAUAGGAUAGCUUUCAUAAAAAUAUAUAAAUUGCAUGCAUUCAAUAUACAGGGUGAGCACGAAAACAUUCCCAUAUUUAAAAAUGUAAAAAAAAUAAAAUUAACAUGAAUAUCUUGAUAAUAUUGAUAUUUAUGAUUCAGUUAACUCAAGAAUUUUCAUUUCUUUUCUUUAAAGAAUUGCUAGGCAUGAUUUUGACAGCUAGAGGGCAGUGACGCUUCACAAGGUAUGGUCGGAGCUGAACUAUUGCAUCGAUAUUUUUCACAUAACAGGUGGCGCACACGCCAAGUGUUUGUGAUUAAAAUUAAUAUCACCCAGAAAUUUAUGCAUUUAUUUACUACGGUUUUUAUUUUGACAAAAUAUUCCUUUUGGUAUAAAAAUUUUACUUUUUCAAAUCUUGGAAAUUUUUUGUGCUCACCCUGUAUAUAUACAUCAGUU